rnacentral:rRNA from 1 species
AGGACGAACGCUGGCGGCGCGCUUAAUACAUGCAAGUCGAGCGAGAACCGGACCUUCGGGUCCGGGGAAAGCGGCGAACGGGUGAGUAACACGUGGGUAAUCUGCCCUCGGUACUGGGAUAGCCCGGGGAAACCCGGAUUAAUACCGGAUAGCCUUUCGAGCUCUCGGGCUCGUUAGAAAAUGGUGGCUUCGGCUUCCGACUGAGGAUGAGCCCGCGGCGGAUUAGCUUGUUGGUGAGGUAAUGGCUCACCAAGGCUCCGAUCCGUAGCUGGUCUGAGAGGACGAUCAGCCACACUGGGACUGAGACACGGCCCAGACUCCUACGGGAGCAGCAGUAGGGAAUC